ACUAUGUUCUAUCAAACUAUCAACAGCACUAACAUUGAUUGGUAUCUGACUCUUAACAGAAAUACUGCUCUGAUCUGUACUAGUAUCAAAGUUUUUGAGUAAUUGGGCAGAUUCUCGUCAGAUCCAUGUGUUUAUCGGCAUGUCUUCUCCUGCAGGGAGGGAGUCUGCGCCUUGCCCCUGCAAGUGUCCACCUGCUCAGGUACAGGCAUUUGGCCACCCACUUGGUCCAUACGCAUCCAGAGUGUUCUCAACAGUGGCAGGUAAGAUGAACAAGCUUAUCCGUGUGUGCUUGUGUAUGUGUGUGUGUAUUUUUACUCUAAUAGAUUAUCGAUGCACUGCUGGGUUGGUUGGCUGCAGCAGACAGUGGAAAUGGGCCUGGCCUCCCCUGAGGAAACAAGAUAUCUCACACAGGCACGCUACACACAGUAGCUACAGACACAGGCACAGUGUGACUUGCGAGAAGAAAAAGCUCUCACGCGCAGGACUUUAAAGCGCAUUUUGCACACUCACACACACUUACGAACAAUUAGACACACCACACACCUGCUGGGUUUUCAGAUGAAGCUGAGCUCCAUUCUGGCUCUAACCGAAGAUGAAAGGGGGAGAAGAAGAAAGACAGGCAGGAGGGAGAGGAGGGACUAGAGAGAGGGAUGGGAAGGUUGAGGAGUAGAGAGGAGGUGGGUAGGGAGCUAUAAGACAAAGACAGAAAGCAGAUAAAGCAGGAAGAGGAGGGGCGUGGAUGAAGAGUGAUGGCAAACUCUUCCACCUCUCCUCCCUUCUUCUGUCUCACUCUCCUUUGUGAACAGAUGGAUAGAGGUAUCAGAUUGUAAUGAGAGCCAAAACAGGAAAAAAGGGAUAGAAAGACACAUAUGUACGCUACAUACACACAUGACUGAACACAAUACUUUUAACUCUGCUGACAGAUGCAGUACUUUGCAUCCCAUGUAGUUUACUGGCUCUACGUUGUCCACAGCCAUAAUAUUUACAUGCAUUCAGGUCAGACAGGUUAUACAAUACAGUGUAUACCAAAUGUUACUCUAAAUCUGAGCAGUGCCUAGUGAUGAUGUUUCUCCUAGAUAGACACACAGGGAAGAAGCUAGAGGCUCCAGGCGUGUGAUGCAUCAGGCGAACAGAGGAAAGAAAGAGAUGAGGCGAGAUGAGCCCUGUACAUUUUUACAUGCAGAGUUAUGAGGGUAUGGUGAAGGAUCCAAAAGUCACAGUGUCAGUGAGUUCAACAGCAGUAUGUGAUGAAUUCUUCGUGUAUCACGGCAUGCUUCUUCUCUGAGUUGAUGGACAUUAAUAAUGUUAGUACUGUAACAUAACUGUGGCUCGGAGGGUAGAGCAGGUCAUCUACUCACCGCGUGGUUAGCGGGUCGAUCCCUGACUGCUUCAUCUCGAAGUGUCCUUGGACAAGAUGCUGAACCCGAUGCACUCAUCAGCGUGAGUGUUGGAUAGAAAGCACUUAAAUGUGUGUGUGAUUAGUGUAGAAAACCACUAUAAAAGAACUCAACCAUUUACAUUCAGCAAACACGAUUUAGUUUUGAGAGCAGAGGUUGGGAGUCCAGUCAUUUAUACGCCAAGCAACAUCAGGAAUGCUGCUUUAUUUAACAUUAACACACAUUUAAGGGGAACACUAGUGGUCUUUAAUCACUUCAGUCAUCAGUUAACAGUUUAAACAUUAACAAUCUUACGAGUCUUUGUGCUGUCAGGUGCAAAGCUGUACAUAGCCAAGCCUCUCUUUCCAUCUCCAACUAUGUUUAUAUCUAACUGUCAAUUUAAGGUGUGCAAACUUUUAAAACAUUAAAGAGAAGCGAACUCUCAAUAAGAUGUUUUCCAUCAGUUCUUUUGAGAUUGCUGUCACAGUUGAGCAUCCACUACAAAGCUGGGAAGUGUCUUUCGACAGUCGAUUGGGGUUAGGUUUCCUUGGACAUCAUUAGAGGAUUUUUCACUACUCCCAAGCUUUUCCAUAACUUUUCUGAAAGAAGCACGAGUGCCAAAAAUGGCCUUUAAAAGCACUUACCGACGGCCUUGCCGAGAGUUGGAUUUGAAGAUUAAUGUCUCUCUCAUGUGUGUCGGGUAAAUGGCCACAGGCAGCAGCUGCUUAGCUUAGCACAAAGCCUGUAAACAGACAUCCUGAAGCCUUGUCAUCGCUGUGCUUUUGGAUGUAAUCCAGUUUAGUUUUCAGGAAGCUACUGUUACAGGGAAAGGAAAAGUGUGGCACAUAACCCUUUGGAAAACCACAACUUGUCAGUUGCACUCUUCUUCUGAUCUAACUCUUGGCAAGGAAGCAAGUCUUUCUUAAAGAGCAGUAUUGUAGUCGUACAAAAAGAGACGUACAUGUGUCUUCGCAGAGGAGGGUUGUUUUAGCUCUGUGUGUGUGUGAGUGUGCGUUGACGCUUAUUGUGGUGCCUUUGCAUCUACUCACAGGGUAAAUCAGUUACUUUUCUGUAGUGACUGAUGAACGCACUGGUAAUCCUUCCAGUUGAACUUGUUGUGGCAAAGAAUCAACUGCAGAAGAAGAGUGCAACACAUUUCAGGGAAACAAAGAGGGAGGGGGUGCCAGGAGAGGCAAAGCCUAAACUAGUAUUAAAUGAACACAGCUGUGCCUCGUUAAACAUUAAUUGGCAAUUAAUCAGACCCCCACCCCCAGUUGAUUAUAUCUUUAUAUCUUAAAAAAAAGAGAGAGAGAGAGCGAGAGAGGGAGAAUAAAGUAAAUUAUUCACCAGCAUCAGGAAAAUCUGUUCCACCACAACCUCUCUGUCUCCCUCCCUGCUUCUUCUCUCCUCCAUCUUCUUGCCCGUCUCCUCCCUCUUUGUGCUUCUUUCAUUUCAUUAAUAUAGUUUUAUGCCUUUAUCUGCGCUUCCUUCCCCUCAUCUGUCUAUAGUUCAUCCAAAGAUGGAAAAGGAGGGAGUGAAAGAGGGAUGUCAUAGAACGGAGGAAGUGCCAGAGGGGGCGAAGGAUGGAAGACGGGGAGGAAGGAGAGGCCCCCGGAUGAAGGAUUACAACAGGGAGAGUGGGACUGUUAGUUAACUGCGUGUGGGGAUACAUCCUCACUUGUUGAUUUCUUUGUCUUUAGGUUAUAAAACCCUGCCGAGUGAAUAGAGUAGCCAUAGCAUAGCCAACAUCUGGCAGCAGUGAACAGACGCAGCAGAGUUUUAGCUGAUUACAUUGUAGCUCCACCCCCUUCCGCUCUGCAUUAUCCGACUGUGUUGAUACAGCUAGAGCCAGAAUUUGUUCUCCUGACUUAGAUAGUUUACUUCUUUGCUGUCAGAUGAAUAACAGAAAACAUGCAUGCUGGUUAUUUUGUAGUAGCCAUUGAUGGCUUCCUUUAAUCUGCCCGCUUCUGAAUGUUUCAGCUUCAUGUCUGAAUGCACACCCUGCUCACUUUCAUGUAUUCCCGCGUGGUCCGACCCAGUAACUUUAACCCACCACAUGAUGGAUGGUGUUACAGUGACGACCAGGAGACUCAUGUCUCUACUGUGUGACCUCUUAAAGACACGGUUUAGGAAGCAACACAUGCAUUUGUGCAUGGAGGAAGAUAGUGUUAACAGGGGUGUCAAACAUGAGGCUCAGGGGCCAGAGUCGGCCCAGCAAAGACUCCAAACUGGCUCAUUGGGCGGCUUUGGAAAAUGCAAAUGAUGGCCUAAAGUUUGGACUUUGGACUGUUUUCAUGUUUUGACCCUUCCCCAAAGCCCAAAGAGUUGUGCUGAGAUAUUUCUCUCAUUUCCUUUUACUUACUACAAUAGAAAAACUGUGCAAAAACUGAAAUUUGCAGUGUAAAGGUAUAGUUGCACAUCUUCACUCUGACAGGGGAAUUGGUCCAGGCGACUGAAGAUCAAAGUGGGUCAAAAGUUUGAUUUUGGUGAUUUAUAGUAAACGGAAACAGGACUCUGACAGUUGAGCUGUUUUUUAAAACCUGCAGUUCCAUGAUUACUGUUACUAAACUGUACUAAAGUGUGUGUGAAUGCAUUCCUGUAAUUAUAUAUCGCAUGUGGCAGAGUAAGUUUGUAGAUAUAUAGCCAGCAAGUUAAUAAACGUGUCACCUGAUGUCCUACCAAAUCCCAACCACUAUAUAUGAGUACUGUCAGUGUUGUGUGAUGUUACAUGAUGCACCUCUAAAAGGCAGAACGACAUCAAGUCGUCAAACUGACGAGGCGUCCGUGCCUGAAAAGUGCUAAAGUGAGAAACUUGUCAGAUGUAGUUCUGACCCCUAUCCUGCAUGAGUUAGGAAGGACAGGUUUUGAGAUGCUGAAUCGACAAAAACUUGAAACACGAAACCAGGAAAAACCUGAAAUUUUGGUCUGAGGCAGAGAGGAAACGUGUAUUUUCAAAUGCUCCCAGGCAGAUGUACUCUCAGAGCAACCUGCGAACGAUGUUGAGGUUCAUAUGCAGCAUAUGUGGCCGCAGGCACUUUCUGUUCCUACUGUAAAGUGUUUGAAGACGAACUGUGCGCACCGUGUGCGUGCAGUAAACCCAGUCUGUCCUGCAGAUCCAGUGCUUCAGGCUGUUCUGCCCAGUGCUACAAGCUUAUAUAACAGUACUGAUUACAGCAGCAAGAAUAACCUGCCUUGCACUCACUGACACACUUUUUUUUUCCGCCUCUCCUCGAUCUGUCGCUAUCUCCUCAUCCCAGCUCACACUUGUUUCCUCUCUCCCACAACUAGGCUA
rnacentral:lncRNA from 1 species